AGAGUUUGAUCCUGGCUCAGGAUGAACGCUAGCGGCAGGCUUAAUACAUGCAAGUCGAACGGGAUUCGGGGUAGCAAUACUUUGAUGAGAGUGGCGCACGGGUGCGUAACGCGUAUGCAACCUACCUUUAACAGGGGAAUAGCCCCGAGAAAUCGGGAUUAAUACUCCGUAACAUUGCGGUGUGGCAUCACACUGCACUUAAAGCUGAGGCGGUUAAAGAUGGGCAUGCGUGACAUUAGGUAGUUGGCGGGGCAACGGCCCACCAAGCCAUCGAUGGAUAGGGGUUCUGAGAGGAAGGUCCCCCACACUGGUACUGAGACACGGACCAGACUCCUACGGGAGGCAGCAGUGAGGAAUAUUGGUCAAUGGGCGAGAGCCUGAACCAGCCAAAUCGCGUGAAGGAUGAAGGUAUUAUGUAUUGUAAACUUCUUUUACAGGGGAAUAAAGUGCGGGACGUGUCCCGUUUUGUAUGUACCCUGAGAAUAAGGAUCGGCUAACUCCGUGCCAGCAGCCGCGGUAAUACGGAGGAUCCAAGCGUUAUCCGGAUUUAUUGGGUUUAAAGGGUGCGUAGGCGGGUAAUCAAGUCAGCGGUGAAAGUUUGCGGCUCAACCGUAAAAUUGCCGUUGAAACUGGUUACCUUGAGUGUAGAUGAGGUGGGUGGAAUUCGUGGUGUAGCGGUGAAAUGCUUAGAUAUCACGAAGAACUCCAAUUGCGUAGGCAGCUCACUGGGCUACAACUGACGCUGAGGCACGAAGGUGCGGGGAUCAAACAGGAUUAGAUACCCUGGUAGUCCGCACAGUAAACGAUGAAUGCUAGCUGUUGGCGAUACACAGUCAGUGGCACAGCGAAAGCGUUAAGCAUUCCACCUGGGGAGUACGCCGGCAACGAGUGAAACUCAAAGGAAAUUGACG
rnacentral:rRNA from 1 species